GACGAGCUGAGGCUGAGGUCUGUGGAGCAGAGUAUGGUCCCAAAGUUCGUCAUCUCAAAGAAUCCCUGUCCAGCAUACCUGGCCGGGUGACCUCUGGCAAGUGACUUACUUCUUUGAGCCUCUGUUCCUCGUCUUUAAGACGGGGGUAAUGAGACGAUCAGCAUCCUCCUGCAGGGUGGUCGUGAGGGUCAUAGGGGAGCUUUAGCCCAGCGCCUGCGAUAUGGUGAUGCGCUUAGCUUUUCUUAGGAGUUUUGUGGGGACACAGCAUGUUGCAUGGACUUCACCUGAAAGUACCAAGGUGGCGUAAGAACCAGUGAGUGGCACGGGUAAGUGUUGCAGGAAUUGAAGGCAGGAGGAAUUCCCAGGGGCUGUCUCCAGAGAAGGGCAGGCUUCCUCUGGUUCGCACUGGAUUUUGAAGAAUUCCGAGGAAAGGAAGGUGAAGGCAGAGCAAAGCUCAGCGCCAGGCAGAGAUCUGUGUGUCACCGUCCGCUGACUUCCUUUUAGAUGUUAAGGGCCUUGACCAAAGCAUGUGAUGAGUUAGUGAUGGGCUGGGGCUAGCGGAAGUUUUCUCUCUUGUACUUUAUCCAUUGCUGUUCCUAUUAGUCUUCAUGCUUUUGGUUGCAAGUGACAGAAAAACCCAAUUCAAACUGGCUUAAGCAGAAGACCGAAAGAAAAACAAUAGCAAAAUCUCCACUCCAACAGAGAAUACGCUGACUUUGUUCUCCAACAAACUCUCCCAUGGUGGCCCCUGGCAUUUCCAGGCUUAUGUGCUUCCAGCUUCACGGCCAGCAAAGAGAGCAUCUCUAUCUCCUGAGUCGACCAUCAGGUCUCACUGGCCUGGCUGUGGUCAGGGCCCAGCCCCAACCAAUCACUGUGGCCGGGGUUUUAUGUGUUGAUUUUCUUGGGCCACCUGCUCAGCGUUGGACCUUUCAAAGUGGCAUGGUCUAGCGGGUUCUUACUGGUAGGAGGGGGAGUGGCUCCUGCGAAGACAAAAGCAGCAUUGCCCACUCAGGGCUGGGACAAGGUUUGCACACUCCUUGUGGUCAUUCUCUCACAGAGUCAGGAGGGGCACCUGUGCUGUGACCACCACCAAGAGGAGAGAGGCUUGUCUUCCUUGAGUUCUGGGUAAACACUUAUGUGGUGACAGCAAAAGAAGCAGAAAUUCAGUUCUGGCUGCGCGUGCCCCCGGGAGGAGAGGAGGCUGGAGUGCCCAUUGUGUGGUCCUGGCACAUGGCAUUGUGGGGCCAUCCAAGAUGGGUCUGGAGAGCUGCCUAGUAGAUCCGGGUCACUGGACCAUGGGGGUAGAACUGGUGACUGAACGUUCCAGAGGCAGUGUGGUGAGACAAGGGAGGGCUUGAAGAGGAGUGGGAUCCAAGUGCAUUGUGCAGGCUGGCCUCGAGUCCACGGCUCAGCGUGGGGAUGAGAGACUGUGUGCCUGGCUGUCGCUUGUCACCCGUGCUGUCCUUCUUCUCUGACAGGGAGCCAGAUAAAGCAGCUAGGACUUCAGAGGUGAGGGUCACGCAGGGUCACGCAGUUAGAGGCAGGGGACCCAGGCUGUCGGACUCCAGAGCUGAAUCGCAGCCUUGUGCUCCCUUCAUCGUUUUGGUAAGAGAAGCAAGCGCCUCUCAGUUGGGAUGCAGGAAAUGCCACAUGCUGGUGUCCUUCCAUCUCAGGCAGAUUCUUCACUCUCCCUACCUCCUGGCACCCUAGGGCGUCCCUCGUCUGGUCUUUGUAUCAGGCCCUCUUUCCUUCCCAUUCAAGUGUGCACACCCAGCUUCCUUCUCUCAAGGUCUCUAACACCCUUGGGAGUCAAAGGCUGCUAAUGACUUACCCAAGAGAUAAUUUUCUUGCAUUUUCGAGACCCCCAAAUCCAAAGGCUUGAGCGAUGUGGGAAUUUUAGACUCCAGAUGGACUCAUGGCAGAGGCGGUGGGAGACAAGGAAGCUUGUCAGGGUCCUUUAAUCACUUGGAGAUGGGAAGCUUAUUUACAGGCUGGGCCUGGAACACUUUUAACAGAGUCAGGAUUUCCCAGGCAUUUAGUUCCUGUUAAUCCUGGAGAGAGAGAGGGAGGGCUUGAGAGGACAGAGAGCAAGAACCCUCAAGAUUGGUGCUGUGGGUCGCCAUACAUAGAUGUGUGCUUACAUAAAGGCAUUCCAUGCUGCGCAGAGGACAGAGCUCCUGCCGAGGCUCCACUGCAAUUACGAUGGAACGUUGCAACUCCCUCAUUUGGCACGUCUUCUAACCCGAAGUCAUUCUGCACAGGACAGGCUGGUGGGAAAGGGCUCUGCACGGAGGACUUAAUAUGCCAUGCCCCGUUCUGUGUGUAUCUGUGCUUGUGUGUUUAUAGAAAAAUUCAAUACUUAAUUGUAUGCUUGGCCUGCUCACCACUAAUUUCCUCAAGAGACAUUCCAAAGCCUUGGUUAGAUUCGCUCAUAUCUCGUAAAAGCCAUAACUUGACUGCGGGUACCCAGAACUAAUCCUGUAUGGAGACAGGGGCAGCAGUCACCUGGCGGGUUUGAAGUUCUGGAAGGCCCACUGUCCUAAGAAUGACUGGUCACCUCCCCAGCGUCCAUUUCCCUUCCUCCUUCCUAAAAGCGUCCCAAAUUUCCCAGCAUGUGGUUUGAGUGGCCCCACUCCCAGAUCCAGAAGUGGACCUCGAUUGGUUGAAGGCAGUUAGCCUAAUUCUUGCUACACUGAAUGGAUUCAGGAGUGGGAAUGUGGUGUGAGCAGUUCCAACAGAGGAAGCCCAAGAGUUCUUUGAGGGUUGUGGGGAAGAGAAACUCUCUCCCCUGUGAGAUAUAAAUGAGGAAGAUGAACCCAGUUAGCUCUCUUGUGACCAUGAGAGGAACUGGCCUUAGGAUGAAGCUGACACAGAGCAAUGGAAGGAAAUGGAUGCUGAGCAACAUUGUUCAGCUACUGGAUCAGACUGUACCUGAAGCCUUUCCUACCUCCAAAAUCUUUUGUUCCCUCUCAAGGUUGGGUUGGGUUUUGUUUCUUGGAACCACAAUAACCUAUACUAAUAACCUAUACUAAAACACCCACCCAGCCAAAGCUUUGUCCUUUCCCAGCUGCUCUGGUACUGGAAACAUCCACUAAUAGAAUCACUGCUCUGGGACAAAUCAUGGUGCCCAAAAGACCUCAGGAAGCACUUUGGUGCGUUACCUUGGAACUCCCACUCAUCCCAGGAAGAGGUUCUAGUCUCAUGGAGGAGACAGAUGUGUCAUGUCCUGACAAGAUGGUGCAGAGAAUGCUAGGCUGGAGCAUGAAUACGCGUGCACGGAGUGAGUGAUGACUCCAGAGCCCAAUCUGAGCCCCAUGCUGCCUCCCAUUAUUUCUAUAAAAGAAGCAAAUCGCCUCCAAAUUGGGAUGUGCAUGCUGCCCAGAGGACUCUGGGAAGGUUUUAACUAACAAUAUUUGUGGCGCACCCUGCACCCACCAAGCGCUGUUCUGGAUGGUGGAGGUACCAUAGUUUUAGUCAGCUCGGGCUGCUGUUAAAAAAUACCAUUGACUGUGGGGCUUCAACAGUAGACAUUAUUUCUCACAGUUCUGAAGGCUGGGAGGUCCAAGUUCAAGGUGCUGGCCAGUUUUGUUCUUGGUGAGGGCUCUCUUGCAGGUGGCUGCCUUCUUGCUGGGUCCUCACAUGGUAGAGAGAGAGAAAGAGAAACUCUCUAGUCUCUUCCUUUGAGGACACUAGUCCCAUCGUGAGGACCCCAGCCUCAUGACCUCAUCUAAACUAAUUACCAUAGGCCCCACCUCCAAAAACUAUCAUCUUGGGGGUUAGGGCUUCAACGUAUCAAUUUAGAGGGGACACAAAUGUUCAGUCCAUGACACACAACAAGCAAAACAAAGCCCCUGCGUCAUGGGUCUUCCAUUCUGGUAAAAGAGGCAGAAAAUAAUAAGCAAGGUACAGUCGAUGAUGGAGGAGAAUAGAAAUGCUAUGAAGAACAAUCAGGCAAAGCGAGGGGGAGAGAGGGUAGCGGGAGCAGAGGGAAGACCUGUGUUAGGAGCUGAUGGUGGAGAAAAGACCUGAGAGGAAGUGAGUGGGUGAACCAUGGAGCCACGAGGGGGAGAUGCUCCAGGCAGAGCAAAGAGCAAGGACAAAGGCCUGGGAUGAGGCAGGGGGGCAGAGCAGAGGGAGUGAGGGGCAAGGGGCAGAAGAUGAGGUCAGAGAGUUAGGGGGGACCAUGUCCUAGGGGUCUCCUGGGGCAUGGUGAGGACCUCUGAGUUCCUCCACUGAGGGCGUAUGGAGGGUUUUAAGGCAUGCCACGAUUUGACAUAUGGCUGCUACAUGGAGAACGGCCUCUAGAGAGGUUAGUGGGUUGGAUGGUGGUCCUCAAAAAGAUAUGUCCACAUCCUAAUUCCCAGGACCUGGGACUGUGAUCUUGCUUGGAAAAAGGGUCUUUGCAGAUGUAAUUAAGUUAAGGAUCUCGAGAUGAGGUCAUCCUGGAUUAUCUGGGUGGGAACCUAAUCCGGAGACAAUGUUUUAUACGAGACAGAAGAAGAGAAGACGUAGACACGGUGGAAGAGGCCCUGUGAAAACGGAGGCAGAGAUUAGAAGCUGCAGCCACAAGCCAAGGGGUAGUGGAGGCAGCAGAAGCCGUAGGAGGCGAGGAAUGAGUGUCUCCUGAAGCCUUUGGAGGAAGCACGGGCAGGCCAACACCUUGAAUUUGGACUUUGGACUUCCGGCUUCUGGAAUCGUGAGAUAAUAAGUUUCUGUUGUUUUAAGCCACCAAAUCUGAGGAUACUUGUUAGUGCAGACCUAAGAAACUAACGCAGGAGGCAAGAGUGAAGCAGGGAAUCUGGAAAUAGUCUAUGGCGAUAAUCCAAGUGAGGAACGAAGCUGCCUUGGCCUUGGGUGGGAGCUGUGAAGGGGCAAGAGGUCAUGGUGUUGUGAAGGUCGCCUUUGCUGAGGGACUAGAUGUGGGGGGUGAGAGACAGAGGAGUCAAGGAGGACUCCAAGAGUUUUGGCCUGAGUAACUAUAGAAUGAGAAGGACAUCUUCUGAAAGGGGAAAGACUGGGAGAAUCGGGUUUCUGUGUGUGGGAAGGUCAGGAGUUCAGGAUGCCUGUUAGAUGCCGCCCAGCUGGCCAUGUCAAGUAGGUAGUUGGAUAUUUGAGCUUGUCAGCUGGACUGGAAAUCUAAAUCUGGGAGUCAGGGGCAGAUAGAUGGAUCUCAAAGCCAAGAGCCUGGAUGAGCACACCCAGGAGUGAGAGCAGACACGGAGGAGGAGCGGAUGGAGCUCUUGGACACACCUGUGUUACGAGGCCAGGGAGGCAAGAAGGAACCGAGAAGGCGGCUGAGAAGGGACAGCUGGAGAGAAGGGGGGAAAACCUGGCGAGCGUGGUAUCGUGGAAGUCAGGUGAAGAAGUACAGGUCAACUCAAGACGAAUUGACUGUCACAGCAAUUUUAUAAUUCAGUAAGCAAAAUAAAAAUUGUAUUGCCCAAGAAUCUUGGUUUGUACCUCUUCUUCCUCCCAACCUUGCAGACGUGAAGAGAUGUAUCAUGGCUCCACUUGAAUCAUCCAACUGUGGCAUGCUCCACACAUCUGGGAUAAAUGCCUUCCAGGACCAACAUGGGCCCUAGGUCAUGAGGGCGCAUAUUGGGCAUUUGUAAGAUGAUAGAAAGAACGAUGAUAGUUCCUUGAAGAAUAGGUUUUGACUACCUGUUUAUACAUAAUCCAGUUAUUGAGUAAUACAUUUGUGCAAGCAUUUGGUUCUUUCUGGAUCAUGCUGUAUUCUAGGAGGGGGGUGUGGUCAUCUGUAAAUGCUGCUGGUAGGUCAAGGCAGCGAGGGCUGGCCAUUGACCUCUGGAUUGAGCACCACAGGGGUCUUUGGUGGCCUUGGGAGGAGCCAUUUCAGGGGGGUGGUGAGGCUGAGAGCCUGACUAGGAUGCAUUAAGAGAGACUAGGAAGAGAAACCGACAGUUUGAGUUCAGUUAAUGUUUCAGAAAAUCUACUCUGUGAAGGAGAACAAAGAAAUAUGGAGGUAGCUGCAGAGGAAUGGGGGGUCAAAGUAGUUGAAAAAUAUUUUUGAUGACAGAAGAGAGAGCGGCGAGUUUGUAAGAUGGUGGGAUAGAUUCGGUGGAGAGAGACAAACCCGUACAUAAUACAGGAGCCGGGGGCGUUAAUUGCUGGAGUCAUGCGCUGGAGGAGGUGAGAGGUGGGGGCACCCAGGGCCUAGGGGAGGCGCUGGCCUUUGCAAAGAGCCCACUCAGUGACAGAGGAAGGUAGGAAGAUGGGACAGCUGCAGCCAGGAGCAUAGAUCCAGUGGGGUUGCAUGCGGAAGUCCUCCUCUGACUGCUCCCAUUACCUACGGAGUGAAAAAGCAAGAGGGGGAGAAAGAAGGAGGAAGUGUUACAAGUUGGAGGAGAAGGUACUGAGGUUCGUUCCCAGGCAGGCGGGGAGGAGCUGACCAGGGAAAUGGAGGAUUGCUGGGUAGGGCCGAGGGGUAUUUGAGGAUGUGGUUGUGAGGCCCAGCAGGCAGCACAGCUGGGUGUGUUUCUCCAGCCGUGUGCAGCUACAAGGAGCAGCCCUGGGAUAGGUGGAAAGUUGGGCUUAAUUAGGGGUGGGUUCUGGUGGGCAAGAUUGAGGAAGGAGCCACGGGCACUGGGAUUGAGGUUGUGUGAAAGGGGGCAUAGACCCUAGAUUCUAAGCAGGCAAGUGGGCAGGUUCUGUUGGUGCUGGGUCAAUAAUGGAAGUUUUGAUGGGUUUUUAAGAUUAGAGUUGGCUUCCUAGAGGAUGUGAACCGGAAGGACAGGAGACAGUGUUCUGUGGAUGGGGUGCCUGAAGUUGGGCUCAUACCGAGAAUGGAGUGUUGUUAGGCCUCUCAGGGUGGCCGUAACAGUCUUCAAGGAGCGGGAGUGGGUAGAGGAUGCUGCCUUCCCUGGGGGCAAGUAGGUGGAGUGGCUAAGAAGCUGGACUCUGGUGCCAGCUCCCUGAGUUUGAGUCUUAUCCAUGUAAUCUUUGGCAAACUACUUAACCUCUCUGUGCCUCAGUUUCCUCAUUUGCGAAGUGAGGAUUUCAUCAUACUUACCUCAUGGGGUUUUGUGAGGUUUAAGUAAAUUGGUAGCUGUAAAGGGCAACAGGGUUGGAGCAGGGAGGGGCUGUGAGCCUCCAGGCCAGUGAGCCUUUUCAGGGAAGUAGGAGAGAAAAAGGCCUGAAUGUGGGGAGGAGGAUGUCUCCUCCAUUUCUGGGCCAGGGGCACAAGGAGCUGGGAAAGAGAAGAGCCACCCUUGAGCAGACAGCAGAGGAAGCCGAGUUUUCGGGAGACAACUGGGUUUAAGUCAUGGGAUGGUGGAGAGAAGAUCCAGGGAAGAGGUUGAGAAUAGAGAGUUCUGCUGAGAACGGACUGAGGAAGCACAGGACCUGUAGAAAGGCUGGGACAUUGGGGAGGACUAGUAAGCUUGGGUCACAGCAGGUGUGUACAGAGCUCUUUGGGGAUGAAAGGUCAGGUGAUGUGGGGGUGGCUGGGAGCCAUGCGCCCUGGGGCAGUGGCUGAGGCAUCAUGGAAUUGGUCUUGAAGAUUUCUUAGACUGUGGUGAGAGUGUUGGUACGUGUGUGGUGGUGGCAGGCGUGCUGCCUUGCCAAGAGCAGGGGGAGCUCUGGGGUCCCUGCUCGGGAACACAGAUGACACUGUUGAGCCUUGCCAUGGGGAGACUGUGGAGCUGAGCAAAGGGUGAGCAUGUACCUGGAGCUGGAGUCAAAGGUCCCUGGGGCUGGGCAGGGGGAUGGGGAGGACUAGAGCGAGGACUGACGGACUGAUGGGGGCCCACAUGCAAUUUUUACAAUGCAGAUCUUUAGCCUGAGAGUCAGAUCUAUGUUUUACAAAGAUCAGCCAGGAUGACGGUGGGCAGUGGAUGAUAGGACAAGGAGAAAUCCAUCCGUAUCAAAGGGGCCGGUCAAGGGACUGUUGUAAUGGGCUAGGCAGCAGAUAAUGAAGACAAGAAAUCAGUGGGUGGAGAUGACUGGAGGAUGGAGGGUUGGGGAGCACAUCCAAAAGAAAUUUCAGGAUCUAUUCCCUGGAGAUACUCAGAAAUCCCUGAGCAAACAGGGCCCGGUAGGGUCAUUGGAACCCAAAGUUGCUGCUAGGAAGCAGAAAAGCAGGCAAGGAACGUGGAAAGCUGGCUCUCGGUGGGGGCCCCUCACCCCAUCAGUCAUUUGCCACCUUUAAUGAGUCUCCUGAGCUUUCCAGAGGCUCGGUUUCCCUAACUAUUCCACUCACACAGGAAGAAUGUAUCCAGCUUCCCCUGGCUUUUCAGCAGUGGAAAGUGAGUGCGUGGGAUCUUGUCGUGCAUGUAAGCGCUUCAGUGAAAGGAGGCUUCCAUUUGCCUGGUGGGAGUCGUGCCGGACCACUUCCAUGCCCAUUAUCUCAUCUCAUGCUCCCAACUGUGUCCGUCAGUUGAGGCAGAUGAUGAUGGUGACGACCAAGGUGAUGGUGAAGACAGGUAACGUGCAUAGUGUGCUUAUUGAAACCAGUUGCUGUACUGAGCGUUUGCCAUCGUGGUCUUACUUGAUUCUGGCAGCAAUCCCUGGAGGCACGUGGUAUUCCCAUCUCCAUUUUAAAGAUGAGGAACCUAAGGCGUGGAGAGGUUAAGCAAGUUUCCUGAAGUUGUACACUUAGGAAGGACCUGGAACUGGGUUUUGAACUCAGGCAGUAAGUUGACACCACGGUCAGUUAACCGUUUCUGUCAUAUGUCAAGGGUGGGAGUGUCGUCAUUCUUGCAUUAGGUGAAGGGUUGGCAGGCCCAAUCCAGCCCCCUGAUUGUUUUGUAAAUAAAGUUUUAUUGGAAUCCAGCCGUGCCCAUUCACUUAUGUAUCGUCUGUGGCUGUUUUCAUGCUGUGGUGGCAGAGUUGAGUGUUCACGACACAUCACGUGACUCUCGAAGGCCAAAAUAUUUACCAUAUGGCCCUUCACAGAAAGUUUGCCGAGCGAGCCCUGCACUGGACUAUUCUUUUUGUUUUUUUUGUCUGUUUCUUCUUCUUCUUCCUACCUGUUUUUUUCUCUUUCUCCCAGCCAUACAAUAAUACAUAAAAUAUAAAAGUAAAGGAAGAUAAUUCCUAAUGAAGCCUGCUGUUUUCAUGGGCAUUUUUCCAAUGCCAAGUUGAGAAGGAAAGAGCAGUUAAUGUAUCAGCAGAUGGGUUUUUUGAUGAGAUCCUCUCUUAAAGUAAUGCCAAGGACAAAGAGUGACACUAAAUUCUCAUCAAGUAUUUAUAAUGUAUCUACUAUGGCAUUUCUCCCGUCUGUAAAGUGAAGGGGUUGAAAUGAGAUAAUCCAGAUUAAGGCCCCACCUAUCUCUAACACAUUCUAAGCUGUCCUUUUAGAAACCCCCUGUCUCCAAGCAGAUGUGGUGUGUACACAAGUGGAGCACAGCCAAACGUGCCAGGGAAGGGACCUCCUUUCUGGAGAUCAGCUACAUAAAGUGGGCUCAUGCCAUAAACAUACAGGUCCUGGGUCUCAGGAAAUGUGUUUGGCUCUUUCAGCCACAGCAUCCUCUCCUGACACGCUUGGCAAAACCAAACCCAGCUUGAGGUCGCCAGCAACCAUUGGGCAUCCCAUGUGAGGACUCAGACAAGGAGUUGUAGUGUCACCUCCCGGCCACUAGAGGACUUCAUCCUAUUUAAGCGGAGGAAGCCUUGUUCAGCGCCUUUCUGCCCUGGGGAUGGUUUGCUCAUCUUCCUUUCACUUCGCUCGCGGUGGCCUCACCUGUGGCUGCUUCAUGAGCUGUAAAGCGUCUGAGGGUGUUUAUGCCAGCCAGCCAGUGCUGGACUGCUGAGGAGUUCGCCCCCAGCCUGCUUGAUGGGAGACAGCUCCGGAGUUAUUCUUUGGAUCACAAAUCCAUCUCUUUGCAGCUUCCACCAUUUGGGUCCCUCUGAACAUGAGAUUUGUCCUGCUUCUGUAUCAUAGUCCCUUCCAAGAUGCGCCCCGGUGGAGAAGGCACAGUGAAAUGGCUUGUAUUGAAGGCCUGUUUCCCUGGCACUGACCGUGUAUGAGGCACCAUUCUAAGCGCUUUACAAACAUUAUCUUACUUAGUCCCCAGGACCGCCCUAUGAGACACAUGCUGUUCUUAGCUCCAUUUUACAGAUGGGGAGACUGAGUCACAGCAUAGACAAGGAACUCGCAGAGUCAGGCAGCCCUGAAGUGGUAGGGCUGGGAUUUGAACCCAGGCCGUGAAAGCUCAGGAGCUCAUACUUGUAACCAGCAGGCUCUGCUCUGCUCCCUCCCAGGAGAGGAGCCAGAUAAACAAUGACAUAUUUUAAAAAACAUUUUAACCUAUUUUUUUCAUCAUAAGUACAUAACAGAAAAUGUGGAAAAUCAAAAGAAAAAAAUCACCCAGAAUAUUACCACACCACCACAAUCGCAGCGAGCUGUCUGGUGUUUCUGCUUUCAUUUUUUAUGUCCCAUGUGCUUUUUCAUAUCUCUGUGCAUGCAACUUGUAUCCUGUUUUUCCACUUCACGUGUAAUGGCCUAAUGUUAUUACAUAGUUUUUGUAACUACUAUUUUAAAUAUUGUAAGAAUAUGUGUAUGUGGUGAUACGAUGGAAGUUCUAGGGGACCUGGGAGAUGAGAAUGUCCAAAGAAGGGAGGGAGCAGGACACACUGUCAGGCGGGGAUGCAGAAUGCCGUGGGCUCACGGGACGACAGCAGAGGACACUGCGGUGACACGUGUGUCAGUGGCGCCGAGCCAGGAGGUGGCAGCUGGCGGUCCAGUGCCUCGCAGCAUUUGGAGACUAAAAACAGCUCCGUAAGGUGACAACACGUGGCAAGGGCCCCGUGGGGAGAGACAGGACUUGUGCUCCCUGGAGUGUCUUGUACUAGCGUGGAUUCAGAGAAGCCUCGAGUGCUAGUUCCAGCUCUGUUAGCUGCGUGGCCUUGGAUGCAUCAGUUCACUUCUCUGGGUAUCAGUUUGCUUAACUAUUUCGUGGCAACAAUAACAGUUCCCAUGAAGGGUCUUGGGAAAAAUGAUAUGUUUGUCAGUUAGUGGUACUUUUGGCUUCAAGUGACAGAAAACCAAAUUUAUAGUGGAUCAAGUGAUAAAAACUUAAUUAGCUCAUGUAAGAAGCUUGGAGGAAGUUGUCCAGAGCCAGUGCGGGGGCUCAGCAGUGUCACGAGGGAACCCAGACUUUUCUCUCUACAAUCCGUCAUCCUUAGGGCGUUGGUUGGAUUUCUGUCUUUUGAGUAUAAUUGUUUCAGUGACCAGGUCUGUGGUGGAGUGGUCGACCCUUCCUUACAGAAGCCCAGCGUCAAAGAGACCCUCCUGUUCUGCCGUGCUCAGAACUACUUCCAACACCAUUGUCUUAGUCUGCUCAGCUGCUGUAACAAAAUACUACAGACUGGGUGCUUAAACAACAGAUUUAUUUCUCAUAGUUUUGGCAGCCAGGAAGUCCGAGAUCAAAGAGUUGGCAGAUUCAGCUCUGGGUGAGAGCCCGCUUCCUGGCCUGCAGAUGGCUGCCGUCUUGCUGUGUUCUCACAUGGCAGAGAGACACGAGAGCACUAACCCAUCAUGGGGGUUCGACUCUCAUGACCUCAUUUAACCCUAACCAAAGGCCCCGCCUCCUGACACCAUCACACUGGGGGUUAGGCAUUCAACAUGUGACUUUUGGGAGACAUAAGCAUUCCGUCCAUAAUAACCAUCCACUGUGUCUUUGUUAUAUCCUGGGACCAUGCAUCGUGACUUCUGCAGGUCUGUCAAGGGCUCUAGAUUCCUGGGCUGUCUCAGAUGGUCCCUCUCUGCAGAAAAUGCAUUCCUUCUCAUUGGCUCUGCAGGCAGAAGUUUGUACCUUUAAACCAGUUGUCACAAUUGUUGCUUAUCUUGUUGUGUGAUGAUUUGAUGAAUGCUGGUCUCCUCCACUAGCCUGUGAGUCCUGUGAAGUCAGAAAUGGUGUCCAUUUUGUCCACGGUUCUGUUCCAGAGCCCAGCACAGUGCCUGGUGGAGAGAAGGUGGGCAGUAUCUGUGUGUCGAAUGAGUGAGUGAGCGUCUUCCUCAGCUGAGCUCUGGUUAGUGUUCUGUAUGCAUUUGUGGGCUGUCACAGACUUGUUCUCACAAGUCCUCUCCCUGACCACUAAGGACACAUUUUAGAAGCCACUCUGUGAUCUCACGGUGGGUAGUGACAGAUUCUACGGCAGAUGCUGUUGAUGCUUGUUCUGUGUCCACCUGGGCUGCUUGAGUUCACCUGCAGCUGUGGUUGACAGUUUCCUGCACACUCACACAUCGCCGUCUCAGCUACCUGGGGGCUUUACUUUACUUUUGAGGCUGUUGGGAUGUGAUGAAUGUACUUUGUAUGCGAGAAGGACGUGAAUUUUGGGGGGUCAGGGGCAGAAUGUUAUGGACUAAAUGCUUGUGUCCCUCCCGAAUUCAUGUAUUGAAGUCCUAAUCCCCCAUGAGAUGAUACUUAGAGGUGGGGCCUUUGGAAGGAAUUAGUCUAGAUGAGGUCAUGACAGUGGGGUCCUCAGGGUGGGAUUAGUGACAUUAUAAGAAGAGGAGGAGAGACCAGAGCUCUCUGUCUCUCCACCCUGUGAGGACACAGCAAGAAGGCAGCUGUCUACAAGCCAGGAACCCAGCCCUCAUCAUGAACUAAGUGUGCUGACUCCUUAAUCUUGGACUUCCAGCCUCCAGAACUGUGAGAAAUAAAUGCCUGCUCCUGGAGCCACCCAGUCUGUGGUAAUGUGUCAUAGCAGCCCCAGCAGACUGAGACACUGUGUCUAAGACCCUGUCUGAAAAUCGUUGACCUUCCAGCCACUGAAGGUGGGAUCUGUGUCCCCUCCCCUUUGACCUGGAGUGAGACUUACUGGUACCUAUUAGGACGCCGUAGUUGUGAUAUUGUCAGUGGUGUUUAAAAAUGUCCCCAAAUUAUAAUUAUCUGUUACUCCCUACAAAGUGGAGCCUAGCGUCCCUUCCCUUGAGCAUGGGCUGGAUUUAGUGACUCACUUUUAACAAAGAGAAUUAAUUGGAAGUGACAGAGUGUGGCUAGGUCAUAAAGGAUCCUGCAGCUGCCUGGUCUCUGUCUCUCUCUGUCUCUCUUCCUCCCUCUCUCCCUCUCUCUGAUCUCUCCAGGGAGGUCGGCUGCCAUGCUUUCAGGACACUCUGGCAAUCCAUGAAGAGAGCCAUGAGGUGAGGACCUGAGGCCUGCUGUCGACAGCCGUAUGCGUGAGUCUUGGAAGAGAUCCUCCAGCAUCUGUCGAGCCUUCCAGUGAUGGCAGCCCUCGCUGGUGCCUUGAGCACUCUCUCACAAGUGGCCUUGAGUCAGAGGCAUCCUGCUAAGCCACUCCUGAAUUCCUGACCACAGACACUGUAAGAUCAUUCAGGUUUGGUGUUUUAAGCCGUUAAGCUUUGGGGUGAUUUGUUACACAGCAAUAGAUAACUAAAUACCUUGUGUGAUUUCCAAACCUGGGUCAAAAAGCCCAUGAGUUUCUGCCUGGUCUCUCCCCUUGAAUCUGGGCCAAAUCUGGGCCCUUGAAUCUUAGUGAUUGGCUUAUAAUUGAUACAGUAAUAGUGAUGCUGUAACUUCAAGGUUGGGUUAGAAAAGGUCAUGUAGCUUCUGCUUAGUACUUUUGGGAGUACUUUUGGGAGUAUUUGCUUGAGGAGGAACCAGCCACGGUUUAGUGUGUCGGAAUACCCUGUGACUGCCAUGCAGGAGAGGCCACGUGUGGGUGUUCCGGCAGGCCUGCUGAGCUCCCCACAGACAGCCAACAACUGUCAGCCAUGUGAGUGGAUGGUCCAGGACGUCCAGCCCAGCCAGACCUCCAGAUGACUCCAGCCCUAGCCGACAUGUGGCUGCAACAAGUAAGAGACGCUAUGCGAGAACCAUCCAGCUGAGCCUUCCUGGGGUCUAGACCCGUGAAUCAGAAGCUAAGUCAGUUUGUCACACAGCAGUAGCAACUUGAACAGGCAACUUUUGGAGGAAACCAAGCGAGGAGGGCUCGUAUGCUGUCUCUGACUGCGGCCUUUUUGCCCAUGAAAACAUCAGCCUUUAUGAGAGGUGCCCCAAAGGGGCUUUCCCACGCACUCCAGUUAUAAGGCAAACCCACCUCAAAGUGAAAAGUAUUAUGUACCACUACACAAAUACACGUCCCAUAAAGCAAAGUAGAAGUGAAAAUAAAAAUAACCAGAAGUGUGAGAGGUCAGUGAGGGUCAGGUUCUCUCUCUUGGGUGGGUACUCUCUGUCUUGGAGACCUCUGAUCUAGCACGUACCUCUCAGUUCAGAGAUGGAGGCAAACGACUUUGACCUACGAUAGACAAUCCCACUGCUUUCAUUCGGCAGUUGGUUUUUUGGGGUGAUAUAUAUUUCUAAUUGGUUUUUCUAUUAAAAAAUAUUUUUGUAAUAGAAAUUCAUGUACAUGGUAAAAGUUCAAACUCUACAGAAAAAAGUUUGAAGUGAAAGAUGAGCCUCUCUCCCUCUUCCAAUAGUGUUAGGGUUGAAUUGAGCUCCCCCAGUUCAUAUGUUGGAGUCCUAACCCCCAGAACCUCAGAAUGUGACCUUAGUUGGAGACAGAGUCUUUACAGAGGCAAUUAAGUCCAAGUGGGGUCAUUAGGGUGGGCCCUAAUCCAGUAUGACUGAUGUCCUUAUAAAAGGGGACAUUUGGACACGGAGACGCGUAGAGGGAAGCCUGUGUGAAAAGAUGAAGAGAGAAGAUGGCACCUACAAGCCCAGGAGAGCCCAGAAACAGAGCCUUCCCUCACGGCCCUCGGAAAGAGCCGGCCCUGCCCAGACCUCGGUCCCAGACUUCUCGCCUCCAAACGAAAUGCCUGAGGAUGAGGACUGAGGGGAGAGGGGCCCUGGCUCAUCUCAUCUGAGUUCCACGGCUGACCCGGUGUGGCUUCUGCGCCAAGCGUGUUAAGACACUAUCCAUCUCUUACUCCUCACUGCCACCCUGGGAGGCAGUACUGCUGUUGGUUCCAUUUCACAGAUGAGGAAGCUGAGGUUUGGAGAAAUGAAGUGGCUUUCUUAUGGUCACACCCAAGACUACUAAUUCCAGAACCAUAGCCCUAACCUUUAUGCUCCACUGUUGAGUCUGUUCCCCAGCCACUGUAUUAACACUGUAUUAACAGUUUUGCUGCACAGCACUGGGCUAAGGACUCACUCUUUGGAAGUCCUUGUUUCGUCUGAGGUGAGCAGGGCCCUUUGACAGGUGAAUGUGCCCCGCCCUGAGUGCUAGGCAUUCUCAACCUGGGGUCUUCAUGCCAGCUUCUUCUUGGGAAAAUUCUGCGAUCUCUUUAGAGUGGUUUGGCUAAGUUCACUCAAUUCACAGGUAACAAUAAAGCUGGUGUCUGGUCAGGCACACUCUGCAUUCGUAAAUGUGAGUACAGAAAUGUGACGUUGAGGACACAGGGGAGGGAUCUUAGAAUGGAGGAAAGGCAGUGUUUGUUGAGCGCCAGCAGCCCCCGGCACCCUGUGUCCCUUCUCAGCAGUCUUCACUGCAGCUUUGUGAAGAGCUGUCUGUGAUCUCCAUUUUGCAGGCGAGGAGACUGAGGAUCUUAUCGGUUCUCUGGCUUACCCGAGUCAUGUGGCUGGGAAGGGCUCCUCCUGAGCCUUGAACCUGGGUCUCUCAGGCUUCCAAACUCUGCCCUUUGCACUGAUCUUCCCUGGGAAUGUGCGGCUGGCUGUGACAAGGAAUGGGGUUCCCACAGGUUCCUAACUAUCUGUGCGCACAGUGUACGGUUAGAGGUCUAGCCUAAACAUGAGUCAGUUCACAACGGCCGUGUUCUCCAGCCAUCUGACAACUAGAUGAUUUGCUCCGAGAAUGCUGGAUUCUUCCCCUGCCACUGCCCCCCUUCAGGGGAAAGUUCAUUGCUCAGAAGAAAUCCCAGUGGUAUACACCCCUAAAGAAUUGAAAGCUGGCACUCUGAGAGAUAUUUGUACACCAUGUUUGUACUAGCAUUAUUUGCAAGAGCCAAAAGGGGGAAGCAACCAAGUGUCCGUCAAUGGAUGGCUGGAUAAACAAAAUGUGGUAUAAACAUACAAAGGAAUAUUAUUUAGUCUUAACAGAAAGGAAAUUCUGACACGUGCUAUAACCCAGAUGAAACUUGAGGAUGUUAUGCUAAGUGCAACAAGCCAGUCACAAAAGGUCAAAUUUGGACUAUAUGAUUCCACCUAGAUGAAGUACCUAAAGGAGUCAAACUCAUAGAGACGGAAAGUAGAAUGGCGGCCGGGGGCUGCCGUGGCAGGUGUGCUGAAGUUGCAAGUUGUUGUUUAAUGUGUGCACACUUUCACUUUUUCAAGAUGGGAAGAGUUCUGGAGAUGGAUGGGACUGGUGAUGUCUCAACAACGUGCUUGAUGCCACUGAACUGUGCGCUUAAAAAUGGAUCAGCUGGUAAAUUUUAUGUAAUGUGUGUUUUACCACAAUUUAAAAAAAAGAAAUCCCAGCUGUGUAAGAGCAUUUUAAUAUUUUCUCAUGGGAAAGAUUUGAAUUUGGCUUCAAGGAACUGAUCUUUUCCAAUCCUUACCACUUAAUGGGUGGAGGCGGGGUCAGCUGUGGUUCUCCUGGGUUCCUCCAAGUAAAGCAGGUCCUUCGGGAACUCCUGGAUCCCUGGACAACUUCCUCCCUGGCUGAGGCUCCUUCCUUCCUUCCUGACAUAGUUAUCAAAUGCCUACUAUGUGCUAUUUACUCUGCCAGACACUGUGCAUGGUAAUAUGUGUAUGUGAUCUGUGCCCAAACAUACUCCCAUUUUCUCCCAUUUUUACCAUGUUUUUUGCUGGUUUUGCUCGAUAUUGAUUCAUACCCCGUUUAUUUUCUAUGCCAAUUUUUUCAGAGCAGCAUGGAACAAUUGCUUCUGCCUUAAUUUCUGAUGCUUUACAAAGGCUGAGCUGAAGGCUGCACCACCAGAAGCUGGGUGAGCUUGGGUGACUGGCCUUGGCUGCUGGGUCACGAAGUUCUAGUGCGAAGGGCCCCGGAGGGUCAAGUGAGUGUUUUCACAGUUUUCUGAGUCUGGCAUCGUGGGAAUUUGCCUGGCCUGCUGGCUGGAGAAGGUUUGCCUUGGAUUCAGGGGCUGGAGAGACGGUAAAACGGCUCUUCCCUUCCCUGAGACAGCCGUGCGUUUGUUUAAAAAAUUGAAACCAUUCUGAUGCUGGAGUUUCCCUCUGUGUUUGUUUUCACAUCUGGGUGAUGGUCUUCUGCCACUGCAGGGCUUUUAAUGAAUCACUUUGGAGAUUGCUUUACUGUUUCCCAGACAGAGGGGCUGGCGCUCUUCUUCUGAGGCCCUGCAGGGCAGGACUGCCUCAGCUUCCCGGCUGGCCGCCUAGAGCUGUCCCUUGGGGGAAGCGGACAGAUAUUUGUCGUCUGUCUGGGAAACCUGGGAGUCCCUUAUCACAGGGCUGUCUUUCCACGUGAGGAGGGCAAAAAAGGUGGAAUGAAAUACAAAUAAAAGAGGGAGAUUGGUGUUAGCCGGUUCAAGGUGUAGCCACCGGCAGACACCACCCCUCUGUUCUCCCAGGCUGUCGUCUGCAGCGUCAGGAGCUCCGGGAGCCAACGCCGGCUGGGCUCAGCUUCCCGGGCACAGCUUGGGAAGCGUGGGAACGUGUUGGCUCAGCUCAGGAGUUACUGGCUGCCUGCCAGGCACCUUUUGGUGGACACCUGUUCCCAGGGCCCUCAGCAAAGGCCAGCAGUGGCCAGUGUCUCUGUGACCAUGUCAGAUCAGUGGUCCCUGCUCACUGUUAGCCUGUCCAACAGGCUCCUUUGUGGUCACAUCCUUGCUCUGUAUCCCUCUGUCACCCCUCCAACCCAUACUCCAUGUUCCAGCCACAUCUCAUAUACCUGGGUGUUUUCCAGUUACCCCCACCCCAGACCCACCCUCCACUCUGCUCUGCCCAGCUCUGAGCCCCAGGAGUCAGAUGACUAGGGAUGCACCCCCAGGACCCCCUGCCCUGCCCUCUGGCUUCCUGUUGGGCUUGGCAGAUAGGCAGCCCCACAGGAGAUCUGUGGAGGAAGAGGAGAGAUAGGCAGGGGGACCCCUCCCUGAGGGGCCAUCUCAGGCUGGCUGCGUGCCUUAGAAGACUUGGAUCCUCUCAAGGUGGCCCUCUCUAGGAAAUUUUCUCUUUCUCCUUUCAGGUAACUGCUGCCUCCCUUCCUCCUUUUGAGGCCGGGGGUGGUACAGCCCUUGGAGUCCUGCACUGUCUCUCGUGGUCUCCCUGGAUCUUGCCCACCCCUCAGUCAAUAGUCUGUUUACUAAAGCCUUCUUGAAUUCUCUUAAUUUGAAUAUUCCUGCUGGAACUCAGACUGCUGCAUACGCUUUAUUAUUUUAUAUACCUGUACCUUUUCUCAUCUUUCCUCUUCUGCCAGAAUUCCCUUCUUCACUGUGGCUGCCUGUUGAACUUCUCUUCAUCCAUCAAAAUUCCACUCAGACGUCAGCUCUGUGAAGCCUGGCUUGAGUUUCCCAUUAGCAUUAAUUACUUCUCCCUUGGCCUUGUAUCACUCUUUGUGAUAUCAAUCUUGUCCAUAUAUCUACCAUCCCCAUCCUAACUCCUUGCUAAUCGGACAUGCCCAAACUUUCUCUCAUCGGAAUUUUUAAUGUUUAAUUCCUUCAAAGUCUGAUUAAGUGACUGUCUAAAGUGCCUGCUUCAAUGCCUGACCCAGAGUAGAUGCUUAAUAAAUGGUAGCUGUUAUCAGACUACUUCAUACUAAAGUAUGAAUGACUAUAUGAUUUAAUGCAUUAUCCCUCCCAAGAACAGCUCACAUUGAUAAGGGACCUUUUAGAGUUAAUAUUCCCUUCAACAAAUUUCUAAAUUGGCAGAGUAGGGUUGGGGGUGGUGUCGAGGCGUCUUCCUCUGGGGCUUCUCAAAUUAUAUCAAGUGCAAGGCCUCUCGGUCUGUAGGUUUGAGAAAACAGAGAAUCACUUCAGGUCAGUCUCUAGCACUCAGAGGCUGCUUGGAAAGGGGACAGGUUGCUCAAUAGUGGCCUGGGGGAGCAGCGUCUGUGGAAAAAGACAGAUGUGACUGGACCCAUGUCUGCUCGGCUAGUAUGCCCUUCCAGGGCUAUUGGAAUGUGAUUUUCUAAAUUGUGACUGGCUGCCUUUCUUCUCUUGUGGUUGAGUCUGUAAUAACAUAGACUAUGACUCUAGUUUUGCCAAAGUGGAAAAAAAUGCCAUCCAAUGGAUUUUUAUGAUGGUUCUUAAACAUUUUUUUUUAAUAUUAUUAAAGAUGUAGCUCAAUACUCCUUUAAUGUCCUGCUUUGGGGCUGACGAGCCAAGGCACAGACUCACGAGGCUGGGUGUGGGCGGUCGGGGGUGCUACCUACCCCUGGGAGGUGCCGACACUGGCUCGGUCGCUCAGUGCAAUUUUGCCUAAAAAUGGAGCUACCUACGUAAAUACAAAUCCAGAGUCUUUUGAUCGUCCACAGCUUGGGGCAGAGAUCAAAGCAAAGCGUCUCCCUCCUCAUUAAGUUCAAGAAGCCAGGGAGCCUUCUGUGUUCCAAGAAGUCCAAAUCCUCCUUCCCAGACUGCAGAGAAUCUCGGCUCACCCCUUAGGUGAUGGAGGGGCCGGCCGGGCGGAACCGCCUCGUGCAGGCUGACCUCCUCCCAGCCCUGUGGAGAAGAGUGGGCCGGGCUGACACAGCCUCAGGGUCAGGGUAUUUGGGGGCGUCUUUUCUAACAGGGUGGGUCCCACAGUUGUUCAUGCAGCUGGCAGACAGGCAGGAUUCUUGGGAAGAACCAAAACUGGCGUUUGCCGAGUGAGCAGUGUCUCGGAGCGGUUAGGACAGAAGGUUCUCAGUGAGGGGAUCAGCUAACGGGAGCAAGAUGGAAGGCCCCAGGGACUCUGCGUUUGCUGCCCUUCCCCCUCCCCCAGCUUCCCAUGUCACCAACAUCCUGAAGUUCCCCCUUUCGGGAAGCUGUCAUGUAGCCACUGUGAGGUCCCCAAACCUCGGAAGUGAGGCUUGUGACCUGGGCUGCAAAAGGGGUUUGUCCUGGUCCCUAACUGCAGCUGAGUUGACCUCCUUUCUGCUCCCUGCCCGACAGCGGGCUCCCGGCUCACGUGGUCAUGGUCUCUCCCAGCCUGCGUGGUGGCUCUGAUCACACACCUUUAUCGCUCUCUGGUCCCACCUCCGUUCUUAGUAGAUGCUCUAUAGUGUCUGUCAGUGGGAUGAUUCUGAACCUUCCUUGGAUAUGCUCUUUGUUAUCCUCCAAUGCAGUGCCUUCACCUCUUCUGCCUCAGUGUUUACUUUCUCGGAUUGGACCCAGUCUUGGAGGCCACUUCCACUGGUCAGAGGGGAGUGACGUGCUUGCUUUGUGUCUCUGGCCUCAGGAUGGCGUUACUGUAAUUCCAGCUUUAUGACUUGUGGCCGUCUGACUCCGACCUUUGCUCCACAUUGUGGCGUGGAGCAGGGCAAGCUCUCUGAGUGGAGCGGUGGCUGAAAUCCUCCCUGUUUCAAAGAACUGCACAUAAAUAUAUCUAAGACAUUUAAGAAAUUUGCCCGUCAAAACAUUUUGGGAAGAACAGCCAGAUUUUAUAAAGGAAAAAAGGGCAGUUUAAUGGGCAAAGAUGUUCUGACUAAUUCUCUGCUUGAGUGACUAUCCAAGUUAAGAGGCUGGUCGACUAGCAUUUUCAGGAAUCCAGAUCUCCGAGCUGACUUGUCAUUGGAGCAUCUUCAGGGGGUCACGUGCAGGGGCCCUGGUCGUCUCACCUAGUGUUGGACCUGCUCAGAGAACAGUUGUCUCUCCCCUGCCCAACCAGGACCCCACCACCCUGUGCAGGUUUCCGUGUCAGAAAGGUGAUGGGUGAACUUGAUGGCAGGAAGAUUUGCCUUAGGACUGGGGGUGGAGAGACAGUGGUGGGACAUGCAUGGCUUUGCUCUUUCUUCCCCCCACACCUGGAGGCUAGGAUACCUUCUCUGGAGAGCAAUGAUGGAGCAUCAGAGAGGUGUCUGCCCACUUGGAAGCACUGGCAUGGUAUUGAUGACUUUGAGAAAGCCAUGAACCUGGCACAUCUGCUCCCGGCUCCGGCUGCCUGUUCCCUAGGGCAGGUGCAUGGGGCACAGCAGACCCCACAGCAGAGAUAGUGAAGAUGCUGCUCCCAACUUUUGUAUUGUGGAGCAUUAUUUGACCCAAGGCAGGUCUCUUUACACCUUUGUGCCUCAGUUUCCCUAUUCAUAUGGCAUAAUAUGGCAAAUGUCCCAAUGCAGCCAAUAGGAGACCGUGUGCAGAGGAGGGGUUUGUCCCCCCAUCCCAUUCCCUCCCACUCCUAGUGGUCGCUUCUCACCUCUUGUUACUCCCUAGAUCUAUUUUACUCUUAGAUGGUUGCCAAUUUCUUUCUUCUUAGAUGUAUGCUGGUAAUAACUUGAGGGUAUUUUCUUUAAGAACCCUAAACAUAAAGGAAGAUUCUGGAAGGUCAGGAGCCUUUGAGGUGCAGCCGAAUGAAUCUCUAAUGAUAAUAUUUCAGCAGAGACUUGUUUUCUUUUCCUUUUUCCAAAUGAGAGUCUUUUCUCAAUCCCAUCGUGGUGGUGGAGGAACCUUUCUAUAUUUGAGGUCAUAUAGUUUGCUUUUUUCUGCUUAAUGUUAUAUGCAUUUUUUUCUUGUCAUUAAAAUUAUCUUGUAGGCAUCAACUUUUUAAAUUUUUUCAUAAAAAAUUUUCAAACGAUGCAGAAAAGGUGACAGAAUUUUAUAGGGAGCCCUCGCAUACCUACCCCUUAGAUUCUAUAUCCGUUAAUAUUUUACUCUGCUGGUUUUAUCAUGUAUCUCUCCAUCUAGCCCUUCCUCGCUAUAUCCAUCCAUCUACAACUUUUGGGGUGCAUUCAGAGUAAGUUGCAGGCGUCAGCACACACCCCCAGUAUAUUUCAGCAUGUGUAUUGUUAACUAAAGCUAGUUCCUUAUGGAUUUUUCUGAACAUACAAUAAAAUGCACACAUCUUAAGUGUACUAUUUGUACAUUUUUAAAAAACGUCAUUCUGUUUUAGUCGUGUAUCUCCACACUUCCUAACUUAACAGUUAAUUAAUUAACUACAUAACAACAGCCGGGUGACUCCUCUGUAUUCCUCACCCGGAAGGCGGAGGCCUGGGCUCCCUUAUUCUUCAGUGAUGGGGAGUCAGUGUGGCCCCACCCCUGUUCCCACCCGGUCUGCUCUCUCAGCAUCCUGGCAGUGGAUGCAGCUUUGCCCUGCUCUCUCCCCGCUCUAACCCUUGGUCAAGGAAGCCCAGAGCCACUUCCUGGGCCCGUCUACUGCAGCCUGGCCAGUCCAGCCAGACCCAGAAAUGCUGACUCAGUUACCAUGAAAUUGUUAAAAUAUUGUAGCCUUCAGCUACCACACUAGCAGUUGUGAGCUGCCUCUCAGUUUCUCAAGAGCUUGCCUUCAUGUUGUUUCAUUGAGACCUCACGCAGCUCAGUGGGGUAACUAUUAUCACUAUGGUAACCAUUUCUCACAUGGGGAUGCUGAGGCUCAGAGAGGGGAGGUCAUGCAGCUUGGGUCUGAAUCCAGGCCUGCGGGGUUUCACGAGCUGAGCUCUACUUGUGGCCCCACAGAGCUCUCCCCUGAGCCGAAUUCUCAGGCUGCGAAAUAGCGACAAUGCCUAUCACUAAAUAUGUGUCAGAACAACUUUCCGGGAAGUUUGACGUGAGGAGUUUGAUGUUAACCUGGCUGGGGGUUUGCAGAUGUAGUGACAUAAUUUGCUGUUCAUGCGGCACGGAGACAUGUGGUCUGGUGGGAAGAGCACUGGUUUUGGAGUCAGCUGACCUGGGCUCUUCAUAACUGAGCUGCGUGACCUCAGGCAAGUCACUUAUCAAGAAUCAAUAUUUUUUUAAUACGUGCCUAGUGGGGGACACACAUAAUCUCAUUUAACUCCUCCUCCCAACACCCUACCGUUGUUUUGAACCUUGCUUUAUAGAUGAGGAAACUGAGGCUCAGAGAGAUGAAGUUACUUGCCCAAGGUCACACAGCUGAGGAACCCAGGCUCUGGGACCUGCUCUCCUAACCGCAGUGCUACAUCACCGCAAUCUGCAAUGUGGGGCUAACUGGCUCUCCUUACGAGUGCUGUUGGUCUAUGAGGUCAGACAUGUAAAGUUUUCUCUCCAGAGGAAUAAGCCAUGGUCCCUUCCUUCAUGGUCCAAAUGCACAGGCUACGACUGGCUGCCUCUGGGCUAAAUUUGAUCCACAUGCUGUUUGUUAGAGAGUUUUGUUCUUUUAAUUUGGAUUGUCAACACUUAAAAAUUAAGAGCCUGUACAUAACAAUAUCUUUUUCCAGCUUCCCUUAAAAGAUCUAAACAUCUGGAGCCAGCCCUGAUGACCUAGUGGUUGAAGUUCAGCGUGCUCCGCUUUGUUGGCCCAGGUUUGGUUCCUGGGCA